UCCUACGGGGCGCAGCAGUGAGGAAUAUUGGUCAAUGGUCGGGAGACUGAACCAGCCAAGCCGCGUGAGGGAGGAAGGUACAGAGUAUCGUAAACCUCUUUUGUCAGGGAACAAAGACUGGGACGCGUCCCCGGAUGAGUGUACCUGAAGAAAAAGCAUCGGCUAACUACGUGCCAGCAGCCGCGGUAAUACGUAGGGGGCAAGCGUUAUCCGGAUUUACUGGGUGUAAAGGGAGCGUAGACGGCGCGGCAAGUCUGACGUGAAAGGCAGGGGCUUAACCCCUUAACUGCUUUGGAAACUGCCAU
rnacentral:rRNA from 1 species